rnacentral:rRNA from 1 species
GACGAACGCUGGCGGCGUGCUUAACACAUGCAAGUCGAACGGUGACGAGGAGCUUGCUCCUCUGAUCAGUGGCGAACGGGUGAGUAACACGUGAGCAACCUGCCCCAGACUCUGGGAUAACAGUUGGAAACAGCUGCUAAUACCGGAUACGAGACGGAGAGGCAUCUCUACCGUCUGGAAAGUUUUUCGGUCUGGGAUGGACUCGCGGCCUAUCAGCUAGUUGGUGAGGUAAUGGCUCACCAAGGCGACGACGGGUAGCCGGCCUGAGAGGGCGACCGGCCACACUGGGACUGAGACACGGCCCAGACUCCUACGGGAGGCAGCAGUGGGGAAUAUUGCACAAUGGGCGAAAGCCUGAUGCAGCGACGCCGCGUGAGGGAUGACGGCCUUCGGGUUGUAAAGCUCUUUCAGCCGGGAAGAAAACGCACUCUCUAACAUAGGGUGUGGAUGACGGUACCGGACCAAGAAGCACCGGCUAACUACGUG